rnacentral:lncRNA from 1 species
GUUCCUGUUCCGGACUUCCCCGCGUCCCGCGUCCGGCCGGGCUCGGGCCCCCUGGCCGGUGCGCGGCGCCCGGGCACCCCGGGCCGGCGGGGACCGGUUCCCGACGCCAUCUUCCUCCCCCGCCCCCACCCUUUUUCUUUUUGGGGGGACCGCGCCGUCGCGGCCCUGGGCUGGCAGCCCUGCGCUCGGGUCCUAUGCCCAGAGGACCUGGGAGUCCGGCUUCGGAGGGAGGAGAAGGGCGAUCUGGCGCCGGGUCCCCCGGGCGCGGGGCAGACGGGCCGCCCCAUUGCACAGAUGCGGAGACUGAGGCCCCCAGAGGCCAAGAUCACGCACCGGAGAACUGGAGCCCCGCCCCACCACCCCAGCCAGCGAGGCGGGUGUUUCGGAGCCAGGGUCCCCAGACGCCGCCCGCAAGUCCUGGGGUUUCCUCGUCUCACGACUGCUGAUCAUGGCUAUCUCAACUCCCCUUCCCCUGCCUGGAAGAAUGAUGGGGCUGGGAAACCACAGUGUUCAAGGCUGUUUUCUCUCAUAGGAAUUGUUUGUUUAUUUAUGGCCUCCCCAACUAGGGAUCAAACCCGGGCCCUUGGCAGUGAGAGUGCGGAGUCCUAACCCCCGGAUUGCCGAGGAACUCCCAGGAAAUAAUUUCAUUUUAUUUAAAGUUCUGCAGGGGAAAUUCCCUGGCAGUCCAGUGGUUAGGAGUUGGCAGUUUCACUGCUGAGGGUGUGGGUUCAAGCCCCGGUCUGGGAACUAAGAUUCCCCCAAGCUCACUGGAAAAGACCCUGAUGCUGGGAAAGAUUGAAGGUGGGAGGAGAAGGGGACAACAGAGGAUGAGAUGAUUGGAUGUCUUCACCAACUCAAUGGAG